AUUGAACGCUGGCGGCAGGCCUAACACAUGCAAGUCGAACGGUAACAGGAAGCAGCUUGCUGCUUCGCUGACGAGUGGCGGACGGGUGAGUAAUGUCUGGGAAACUGCCUGAUGGAGGGGGAUAACUACUGGAAACGGUAGCUAAUACCGCAUAACGUCGCAAGACCAAAGAGGGGGACCUUAGGGCCUCUUGCCAUCGGAUGUGCGCAGAUGGGAUUAGCUAGUAGGUGGGGUAACGGCUCACCUAGGCGACGAUCCCUAGCUGGUCUGAGAGGAUGACCAGCCACACUGGAACUGAGACACGGUCCAGACUCCUACGGGAGGCAGCAGUGGGGAAUAUUGCACAAUGGGCGCAAGCCUGAUGCAGCCAUGCCGCGUGUAUGAAGAAGGCCUUCGGGUUGCAAAGUACUUUCAGCGGGGAGGAAGGGAGUAAAGUUAAUACCUUUGCUCAUUGACGUUACCCGCAGAAGAAGCACCGGCUAACUCCGUG
rnacentral:rRNA from 1 species